UUUUGUCCUCAAACUCUGGAGACGUUAUCCUUGCCAGGCAUCAUGGCAGAGCUGGAUGUGGAGACAGGAGCUCGCCCGGGCCUCCAGGAUGGGAAGUGAUUUGCUCCAUGGGCUGCCAAUGUGACACCAUGACAGCUGAUACUCUGUGUCCCUUCUGGAAGAGGAACUUGACAGAGGUCUGAUUAUACCUGGCAAUAAGACACCAUGGAUAAACACUUGGUGAAUCAACGAAGGAGGAAUGAAUGUGGCUUGGUGGUGCCCAGAACUUCCAUUACGUCUUCCUGAUAGCCUCAGCGCACUGAAUUUCUAAGAGGAGAGGGGCCGAGAACAGCAGAGAGGGAAGUUAUGGACCAGGUCCUUUGAGCACCCCUAAGAGCUGAAAAGGUCACUGGACAGGAAUGGUGGCAUUUGCUGCCUCUGCACAUGGCGGUAACUGGAUCAGCAGAGAGCCCCUCGCCAUCCUCCUACAAGGCCUGCGCCACCCUGAAAUAGCCCAAAUGUAUGUAUGGCAUCCUCUGGAACAGAACAACCCCACAUUUAAACAUUCCUGGUAUCCUGUUUAUGCUUGGUAGUUAUCAACAAGGCAGGUGGGAGCCAUAGACUCAUUCCUGUGAGGGCCCCCGGAUCAACAGCACACAUAUCUUCCGAGGCUGGGGGCUGAGGUCAGUACCCACAUAAGCUGCAGCUUGAUGGAUGGUCUUCAUGCAGCUGAUGCUUGCAAUCAUAAACUG